rnacentral:rRNA from 1 species
AGAGCGAACGCUGGCGGCAGGCUUAACACAUGCAAGUCGAGCGGGCGUAGCAAUACGUCAGCGGCAGACGGGUGAGUAACGCGUGGGAACGUACCUUUUGGUUCGGAACAACCCAGGGAAACUUGGGCUAAAUACCGGAUAAGCCCUUACGGGGAAAGAUUUAUCGCCGAAAGAUCGGCCCGCGUCUGAUUAGCUAGUUGGUGAGGUAACGGCUCACCAAGGCGACGAUCAGUAGCUGGUCUGAGAGGAUGAUCAGCCACAUUGGGACUGAGACACGGCCCAAACUCCUACGGGAGGCAGCAGUGGGGAAUAUUGGACAAUGGGCGCAAGCCUGAUCCAGCCAUGCCGCGUGAGUGAUGAAGGCCCUAGGGUUGUAAAGCUCUUUGUGCGGGAAGAUAAUGACGGUACCGCAAGAAUAAGCCCGGCUAACUUCGCGCCAGCAGCCGC